rnacentral:lncRNA from 1 species
CCGAAUAAAUUAUUUAGUGAUAACUUACACUACAACAGAAUUAGAUUAUAGAGACACAUUUUUUAGACACUUUUAUAUAAGUGUCCCAUUUAUACUAAAACUUUUAAAAAAGUCAACUAAGGCCUAACUAUAAAGUCCAAUCCAACAAAAAAUAAAAAAGUUACUCUGCUCAACCCAUCCCACCUAGCCCAUUUGGCCUAAUUAUAAAAUAGAAAAGAAAAAGAAAAAAAAAAUCGAUCACCAUCUCCCCUUCUCUCCUCACUCAAUUCACUGAAAUCUUAAACGAAGACCCUUCGCUCUCCUCCUCCUCUGCCACCGCAGCCAACGAGGUAGAGUUCCAGCUGUUGCUAAAUACUUAAAUAAGUGUUCGUAAAUUAGCAGCAUUCUUUUUAGAUUAUACCAACACUCUUAAACUAUCACUGUAUACCUAUCAUCUCCACAUAUAACAAUAUUUUUUAAAGUGUCGGUAAUUUAGCCGGCAGCAAUUUUUUUUAUCUAUACCGACAUUUAAAAGUGUCGCUAUACAUCGUUUUUAUUGUAGUGUUAUUUGGAAUUAGAAUUUUCUUGUGUGAUUGAAGAUGUUCGAUUUUUGCUAUUUAACUGUUUUGACAUUUGUAAUUUGAUAAUAUAACAUAUUUCAUCUAUAAAGUAACUUAUCUUAUUCUGAAAAAAUGACUAAAAUGCUAGAUAUAUUCACUACAACAGAAUUAGGUUAUAGGGACACAUGUUUGGGACACUUUUGAAUAAGUGUCCCAUUUAUGCUAAAACUUAAAAACACAUCUACUAAUGCCUAAAUAUAAAGCCUAAUCCAACCAAAAAUAAAAGAUUACUCUACACAACCCACCACACCCACUUCAUUUGGCCCGAUUACAAACAGAAAAGAAAAAAAAUAGAAAAAUCAAUUACCAUCUUUUCUUCUCUUUUCACUCAAUCCACUGAAAUUCUAGAUGAAGAGCCUUUACUGUCGUCCUCCUCCGCCACCGCAGCCAACGAGAUAGAGUUUCGACGGUUGUUAAAUGCUUAAAUAAGUGUUGGUAAAUUAGCAGCACUCUUUUAGGUUAUAGCGACACUCUUUAACUGUCACUAUAUACCUAGCGACCCCACAUAUAGCAACACUUUUUAAAAGUGUCGGUAAUUUUAACUAGCAGCAUUUUUUUAACAUGUACCUACAUUUAAAAGUGUCGCUAUAGACCGUUUUUGUUGUAGUGUAUGAUAUUCCAUUUUAUACAUUUUAU